rnacentral:lncRNA from 1 species
CGAAAAUAACUAUUUUAAAGGAUAAAUCACUCUCAAUGGGAUCAAAGAUCAAUUGUCUCAUCAGUGAAGCAAUCAAACAAGUUAAAGCAACACUAACUGUAGAUGCAAUAAAGACCAUAUCAUCUCUUGCUCUUGAAAAAUAGGAAAGGAAAUCAAGUGUACAAAUGACAGACUUUAUGUCAUGGAUGGAAUUUUUCCCGAAGCUACGAAAGGAAGUUCUCAGAGUGUAAUGAAUAUAUUCAUAUAUUUUUUAUCGUAGAUGUAAAUAUUUUUAGCAUCAAUUUCCUCCAGGGGUGAAAGCCUCAACCUGGGAUACAAAGAUUUAGUCAGACACAUCAGAUAAUUGAAGCACUUAUAAAAACAAAACAAAAAUCUCUCUCUGCAUCAAAAAUUAUGAAGCCUCACAAUACCAACUUUCGGUUGGAAAGUCGACAUAUUCUUUUAGGCAAACGACCAACAUUUUCCAACAAAGUUUAAUAAAUCAAGAACGUACACGUCGACAUAGUUUCUUGGUCUCAAACAGUUCAUCUAAGUCGAAAAACAGUCUUCAUAUUCAAAUAAUAAAAAUUGACAAUCAAUGCAAACAACUUCAGAUUUAUCUCGUGUAAAUAAAAAUCCAACAAUUCAAAUGUCCAAAGCUUCUAAAGCAAACCCAUGAUCAAAAGUCAUAUUUACAUCUUACUGGGAUUAUUUGGAAGUAAAAUUACAAGAAGUUGAGUAUGAAUUAUUUUCAAUGGCAUUUUUUAGAUUGAUAACUUGGCGCUCUUUUUAUAUUUUAUUUCAGACCAGUGUUUUCUACAUGUCUUAUAUUGUAUUUGAAGGCUUACAAACAUUUGAAAAUCUUGGGAUUGAAUCAUAAUCACAUUUAUAUAAGGAUACUGUUGUCAAAGCAAAAAAGUGUUGUCUUCACUUGGUUAUAUCUGCACUGAAGCAGAUUUUAAUAGCCAUUAAUUCGAUGGAAAGUAAGGCAGAGAACUCUGAAACACUUUCUAAAAUAGAUCAAUCAUUUUGUUACCAUUGGAAAUGAGCAAUUUGAGACAAUUUUAUCUUCUAUUGAUUAGAAAAUUCAAUUAAUCUUAUCCAACAAGGUGUUUUAUCAAUGAUGUCAUCAUGUGCAACCAAAAGCUACUUGUAAUCUUUAAAAAAUUUCCUAAUUUUCGGUUUCUUAUUUUUUUUAACAUGGCCAUUCAACACUAGAUUUUCCUCAUUGAGCAUGAAGAUGUAGCUGAUUAUUUGUCAGCCAAUGAAAAUAAAGUAUAUGAAAAGGAAUUAUUAAUAGCCAAUGAAAAUUUGAGCGUUUAGAGGAAGUAAAAGUCGUAACAA